CAUAAACAAAAUAGGUCAUACAAACGUGCCAUACAAACCGUGCCUUCAAACCGUGUCAUACAAAACAGUGCCAUUCAAACCGUGUCAUACAAAACAGUGGCCAUUCAAACCGUGUCAUACAAACAGUGCCAUUCAAACCGUGUCAUACAAAACAGUGCCAUUCAAACCGUGUCAUACAAAACAGUGCCAUUCAAACCGUGUCAUACAAAACAGUGCCAUUCAAACCGUGUCAUACAAAACAGUGCCAUCAAACCGGGUCAUACAAAACAUGCCAUUCAAACCGUGUCAUACAAAACAGUGCCAUUCAAACCGUGUCAUACAAAACAGUGCCAUACAAAACAGUGCCAUCCAAACCGUGUCAUACAAAACAGUGCCAUACAAAACAGUGCCAUCCAAACCGUGUCAUACAAAACAGUGUCAUACAAAACAGUGCCAUACAAAACAGUGUCAUACAAAACAGUGUCAUACAAAACAGUGCCAUACAAAACAAUGACAUACAAAACAUUUACGUGCAACGCAUGCUUCCCUUUGUGCUGGGGUGUAACCUGACUCUCAGGUCAUGAUGAGGAGAUGAAGGAAACACCCAGUUGUUUGGUUCCUCUGUAUGUAGAGUCAGAGGAAGAUGAUGAUGAUGAGGUGAUAUCUCUCGCUUUAACAGGGUCUAUAGGGGAGUGUCUCAGGGGUUUCAACAACAGGAGAUUGGUGGCAACUUAAUUGGGGAGGACGAGCUUGUGGUAAUGGCUGGAGCGCAAAAAGUGGAAUGGUAUCAAAUACAUGGUUUCUGGUUCCAGACAUUACUAUUAGCAGUCCUCCCUCAGCAGCCUCCCGUGGCGUCAACACAGCCCCGAUUAUCAGACAGAGGCCUCCGUUUGAAGCUUUAACAAACACAGCUACCAUGUCAUCCAGGGACAGCCAGGCUUUCUCUGUGAAGAAGAGAGGUGGACGUUGAAUAAACAUU
rnacentral:lncRNA from 1 species